rnacentral:rRNA from 1 species
GACAGAGGGUGCGAACGUUUGUUCGGAAUUACUGGGCGUAAAGCGCGUGUAGGCGGCUUGGCAAGUCGGGUGUGAAAGCCCUGGGCUCAACCUAGGAAGUGCACUCGAAACUGCCGAGCUGGAGUUCUGGAGAGGAAGGCGGAAUUCUCGGUGUAGAGGUGAAAUUCGUAGAUAUCGAGAGGAACACCGGUGGCGAAGGCGGCCUUCUGGACAGUGACUGACGCUGAGACGCGAAAGCGUGGGGAGCAAACAGG